rnacentral:rRNA from 1 species
GCAUAUCAAUAAGCGGAGGAAAAGAAACCAACAGGGAUUGCCUCAGUAGCGGCGAGUGAAGCGGCAAGAGCUCAGAUUUGAAAUCGUGCUUUGCGGCACGAGUUGUAGAUUGCAGGUUGGAGUCUGUGUGGAAGGCGGUGUCCAAGUCCCUUGGAACAGGGCGCCUAGGAGGGUGAGAGCCCCGUGGGAUGCCGGCGGAAGCAGUGAGGCCCUUCUGACGAGUCGAGUUGUUUGGGAAUGCAGCUCCAAGCGGGUGGUAAAUUCCAUCUAAGGCUAAAUACUGGCGAGAGACCGAUAGCGAACAAGUACUGUGAAGGAAAGAUGAAAAGCACUUUGAAAAGAGAGUGAAACAGCACGUGAAAUUGUUGAAAGGGAAGGGUAUUGCGCCCGACAUGGGGAUUGCGCACCGCUGCCUCUCGUGGGCGGCGCUCUGGGCUUUCCCUGGGCCAGCAUCGGUUCUUGCUGCAGGAGAAGGGGUUCUGGAACGUGGCUCUUCGGAGUGUUAUAGCCAGGGCCAGAUGCUGCGUGCGGGGACCGAGGACUGCGGCCGUGUAGGUCACGGAUGCUGGCAGAACGGCGCAACACCGCCCGUCUUGAAACACGGAAC